rnacentral:lncRNA from 1 species
UGGAGACGGGGUUUCAUCGUGUUGGCCAGGCUGGUCUCGAACUCCUGACCUCAGGUGAUCCCCCGCCGUCCAGAUUUUGAACAAAUCUCUCUAGGGAUUGAACAGAGCUGCGCCUGGAUCCUGCCACAGUGAGGAGACCUGAAGACCAGAGGAAGCACAGCAAGCCCUUGGAUCCUCCUGGAAUCCCCGAUCCCUGUUGCUCCCUUGCGGAGUUUUCUAGUCCGUCUUAUUUGAAGUAUGUCUUUCAGAGCCUCACACCACCCAGCUUGGGUAUGUGAUACACAAAUAUUAUGUUUCCUCGGUGGUUUUUUUCCCCUCACAUCGGGCCCUCCUCUUCAGUCGACUUCAGUGUGGUACCUGCAGGUCUCAGGCCUUCUGGGAAGUUCCAGCUUUGCCUGGUUGCUCUCUCUCUGGCCAGCUCAGGCUGGAGCAGUGGGUGUUGGUGCCAUCCUGUG